rnacentral:rRNA from 1 species
GACGAACGCUGGCGGCGUGCUUAACACAUGCAAGUCGAACGGAAAGGCCCUGCUUUUGUGGGGUGCUCGAGUGGCGAACGGGUGAGUAAUACGUGAGUAACCUGCCCUUGACUUUGGGAUAACUUCAGGAAACUGGGACUAAUACCGGAUAGGAGCUCCUGCUGCAUGGUGGGGGUUGGAAAGUUUCGGCGGUUGGGGAUGGACUCGCGGCUUAUCAGCUUGUUGGUGGGGUAGUGGCUUACCAAGGCUUUGACGGGUAGCCGGCCUGAGAGGGUGACCGGCCACAUUGGGACUGAGAUACGGCCCAGACUCCUACGGGAGGCAGAAGUGGGGAAUAUUGCACAAUGGGCGGAAGCCUGAUGCAGCAACGCCGCGUGCGGGAUGACGGCCUUCGGGUUGUAAACCGCUUUCGCCUGUGACGAAGCGUGAGUGACGGUAAUGGGUAAAGAAGCACCGGCUAACUACGUG